rnacentral:rRNA from 1 species
GGACCCGACUGCUAUCGGAUUGGGACUAAGCCAUGCGAGUCAACUCCGCAAGGGGUGGCGCACGGCUCAGUAACACGUAGUCAACAUGCCCAAGGGACGUGGAUAACCUCGGGAAACUGAGGAUAAACCGCGAUAGGCCAAGAUUUCUGGAAUGGAUCAUGGCUGAAAUCUAUAUGGCCCUUGGAUUGGACUGCGGCCGAUCAGGCUGUUGGUGGGGUAAUGGCCCACCAAACCUAUAACCGGUACGGGCUUUGAGAGAAGGAGCCCGGAGAUGGGCACUGAGACAAGGGCCCAGGCCCUACGGGGCGCAGCAGGCGCGAUG